rnacentral:tRNA from 1 species
AAAGAAUUAGUUAAAUUAACAUUAGUAUGUCAAGCUAAAAUUAUUAGUUCAAUCUAAUAUUCUUUA